UACGUAGGGUGCGAGCGUUAAUCGGAAUUACUGGGCGUAAAGCGUGCGCAGGCGGCGCGUUAAGACAGUUUUGAAAGCCCCGAGCUUAACUUGGGAAUUGCGCUUGUGACUGGCGUGCUGGAGUGUGGCAGAGGGAGGUGGAAUUCCACGUGUAGCAGUGAAAUGCGUAGAGAUGUGGAGGAACACCGAUGGCGAAGGCAGCCUCCUGGGCCAGCACUGACGCUCAUGCACGAAAGCGUGGGGAGCAAACAGG
rnacentral:rRNA from 1 species